UCAGCUUUUUUUUUUCUCUCUCUCAACAUCCAAACUCCCCUUGUUCCCCUAGUUUUCUCUUUCACCAUCAAAACUCGAAAGCCAAACCCGUCGUUGGUUCUCCUGUUUAUCUCUGUCUUGUCUUUUUCUCUCCUCUAUUUGGCCUGCGAUCAUGGUUAGAAAGGAAAUUGGGGUUUGGCUUGGGAUCAUGGUGGGACCAAUCGAUUCUCAAUUCAUCAUCUGGUUAACAGUUGGGCUUUGCUUAAUCAUAUCUAGUGUCUUAGAGGAGAUAUAUAUAAGAGAGAGGGAGCCAUGAUCAUUGCUUCCAAGGUCUUGUAACAAAACUAGGAAAUCCAAGAAACCGUGUUUCUUAUUUUGAUCAUGCAUCAGCAUACUGUUCUCUCUUCUCCCACAAUUUUUCUCUCCUCCUGGGUUCAUCAGAUAAAGCUGCAUAGCUUGGCCAUUAGCCCUCGGGUUAUUGCUUUCACUGUUGAAACCGCCAUUAACGCUCGGGGCUUCGAGUUCUUUUUCUUCUGCGAAAUGAAACUGCCAUUAAAGCUUGGGGCGUUGGUUUUUCUCUCAUCCAACAAAAACCCAUUCUCUCUCAUCUCCAUGUAAUCCACCAUACAAGAAAAAUCGAAGAAUUUGAGAGAGAGAAGACGCGAGAG
rnacentral:lncRNA from 1 species